rnacentral:misc_RNA from 1 species
GAUGAAGAACGGAGCGAAAUGCGAUAAGUAAUGUGAAUUGCAGAAUUCAGUGAAUCAUCGAAUCUUUGAACGCACCUUGCACCCUUUGGCAUUCCGAAGGGUAUGCUCGUUUGAGUGUCAUUGUACUCUCACACUUCCAAUCUUUGGAUUGGGAGCAGUGGACUUGGGUGUUGCUGCUUACUGUGGCUCACCUCAAAUCGAUUCGUGCACCUCUUGGUUGGACAUAGUACGGCGUGAUAAGUGUCUUCGCCGGCAUCUCAGUAGAGGGUGGCUGAUCAGGAGCUCUGUGCUUCAAACCGUCCUCGGACAAAAACUGACAACUUGACCUCAAAUCGAGUAGGACUACCCGCUGAACUUAAGCAUAUCAAUAAGCGGAGGA